UACGUAGGGGGCAAGCGUUGUCCGGAAUCAUUGGGCGUAAAGAGCGCGUAGGCGGCCCUGUAAGUCCGCUGUGAAAGUCAAGGGCUCAACCCUUGGAUGCCGGUGGAUACUGCAGGGCUAGAGUCCGGAAGAGGCGAGUGGAAUUCCUGGUGUAGCGGUGAAAUGCGCAGACAUCAGGAGGAACACCGGUGGCGAAGGCGGGUCUCUGGGCAACUACUGACGCUGAGGAGCGAAAGCGUGGGGAGCGAACAGG
rnacentral:rRNA from 1 species